AGUGUAGGCGGCUUCGUAAGUCGGAUGUGAAAGCCCCGGGCUUAACCUGGGAAUUGCAUUCGAUACUGCGCGGCUAGAGUCUGAUAGAGGGAAGUGGAAUUCCAGGUGUAGCGGCGAAAUGCGUAGAUAUCUGGAGGAACACCAGUGGCGAAGGCGGCUUCCUGGAUCAAGACUGACGCUGAGGCUCGAAAGCGUGGGGAGCAAACA
rnacentral:rRNA from 1 species